GACGGAGGAGGCUAGCGUUGUUCGGAAUUACUGGGCGUAAAGCGCACGUAGGCGGCGGUGUAAGUUGGGGGUGAAAUCCCGGGGCUCAACCCUGGAAUUGCCUCCAAGACUGCAUUGCUAGAGUCCGGAAGAGGAGAGCGGAAUUCCCAGUGUAGAGGUGAAAUUCGUAGAUAUUGGGAAGAACACCAGUGGCGAAGGCGGCUCUCUGGUCCGGCACUGACGCUGAGGUGCGAAAGCGUGGGGAGCAAACAGG
rnacentral:rRNA from 1 species